rnacentral:rRNA from 1 species
AUUGAACGCUGGCGGCAUGCUUUACACAUGCAAGUCGAACGGCAGCGCGGGCUUCGGCCUGGCGGCGAGUGGCGAACGGGUGAGUAAUGCAUCGGAACGUGCCCAGUAGUGGGGGAUAGCCCGGCGAAAGCCGGAUUAAUACCGCAUACGACCUGAGGGUGAAAGCGGGGGACCGAAAGGCCUCGCGCUAUUGGAGCGGCCGAUGGCGGAUUAGCUAGUUGGUGGGGUAAAGGCUUACCAAGGCGACGAUCCGUAGCUAGUCUGAGAGGACGACCAGCCACACUGGGACUGAGACACGGCCCAGACUCCUACGGGAGGCAGCAGUGGGGAAUUUUGGACAAUGGGGGCAACCCUGAUCCAGCCAUGCCGCGUGCGGGAAGAAGGCCUUCGGGUUGUAAACCGCUUUUGUUCGGGAAGAAAUCCUCUGGGCUAAUACCCCGGGGGGAUGACGGUACCGGAAGAAUAAGCACCGGCUAACUACGUG